UGUUUGCACUUAGCGGGAAGGGUAAGAACCUUCGACUAAGGUUCGACUCGAGCGCCAGCGAGAGAACGUUGCCACAGGCAACGGCCCGAAGGGCGAGG
rnacentral:sRNA from 1 species